rnacentral:snRNA from 1 species
AGCUUUGCACAGUGGCAGUAUCAUAGCCAAUGAGGUUUAUUCGAGGUAUGAUUACUGCUAAUCCCGAUCUUUUGGUAUUGGUUGAGACCCGAUUUGUGACCCAGUAUGUGGUCUAUUCUGGAUAAAGUUCCAUGUGCCCUUGAGAAGAAUGUGUAUUUUGUUGCGUUCAGAUGGAAAGUUCUGUAUAUAUCUGUGAAA